GACGAACGCUGGCGGCGUGCUUAACACAUGCAAGUCGAGCGGAGCGGCGAACGGGUGAGUAACGCGUGAGUAACUGCCCCCCCCUCUGGGAUACCAGGUGGAAACGGCUGCUAAUACAGGAUAGUGGUGGAUGAAUCGCUGACAAUCAGUUUGUUGGUGGGGUAGGGGCCUUCACAGGCGACGACGGGUAGGCGGCCUGGGGGGGCGACCGGGCACAUGGGGCUGCGGUACGGCCCAAACGCGUACGGGGGGCAGCAGUGGGGAAUAUUGCACAAGGGGGGAAACCCUGAUGAAGCAGCGCCGCGGGCGGGAUGACGGCCUUCGGGUUGUAAACCGCUUUCAGCCAUGACGCGGUAGUGGCAGAAGAAGCACCGGCUAACUACGUGCCAGCAGCCGCGGUAAUUC
rnacentral:rRNA from 1 species